rnacentral:tRNA from 1 species
GUGGACGUGGCGGAGUGGUUAUCGGGCAUCACUAGAAAUCAUGUGAGCUUUUCCCAUGCAGGUUCGAAUCUUGCCUUCCACG